rnacentral:rRNA from 1 species
UACGUAGGGUGCAAGCGUUUGUCCGGAAUUAUUGGGCGUAAAGAGCUCGUAGGCGGUCUGUCGCGUCGGCUGUGAAAUCCCGAGGCUCAACCUCGGGUCUGCAGUCGAUACGGGCAAACUGGAGUGUUGCAGGGGAGACUGGAAUUCCUGGUGUAGCGGUGAAAUGCGCAGAUAUCAGGAGGAACACCGGUGGCGAAGGCGGGUCUCUGGGCAACAACUGACGCUGAGGAGCGAAAGCGUGGGGAGCGAACAGG